GGAGCCAUGAGAUUGGGGGGGGUUCCUUGUGCAGGGGCACUCUUCAAGGGCAAGAAUCAUCAAGGGGACCAAGGUGAGAACAAGUUCCGGAAGGUGGUGGGUAAAGACGCCAUGGAAUGCCCAAAGAUCCCUCCGUGAGGGACGCGGGGCCAUUCCUGAGCCAUCUUCCUCUGGGGACGCAGUGGAAUCACUUUGCUGGCCUCUGGUCCAGGUCCUAGGGCAUGGAAGGGCUGUAGGGACAUCCCUGGGGGGCUGCCUGGAGGAGGCGGCAGGGAGGUUUCACAUGGCCGUGUUCUUUCUUUCUCCGUCGUCCAGCUCUAGCCCCAAGUUGUUCCUUCCUUCCUUCUUUGUCUUUUUCUCUCUUUUUUUCUCUUUUUCCUUUUUCCUCUCAUCUUCAUUACUGUAGGGAUAGAAAGGCCCUGGAUCAUAUGAAGAAACGGAGUCAUUCCCGUUUCCUGGGCAUUUCCUAUACCAGGCCUGGUGAUGAGCAUUUUACAAACAGUCUCCUGCUUCCUCCUCCAAAAAGCCCUCCAGGGGCAGCCUCGUGGUUUCCAUUUCACAAAGGCCCGAAACAGGCUCAGAUGAUUCAUCUGGAGAAUUAUACACCUGCACACCCCCAGGCCACCAUCUUGUCUGACAGAUACUGAGAUACAGGGAACAGUGUUCCAGCAGAGGGAACAGCAAGUGCAAAGGCCCUGAGGUGGAGAGGUGUGUCGGUCACCUGUGCACCCCUGUCCCCCUCCGAGGGGGGGGCUCACACGCCUACCCUGUACACUCGACACCCGCUCCCAGGGCCGUACCUCAGGUCCACAUCCUGGUACAGGCCUGAGGACAAGGUGUUUUGUGCAGAGAAGCCACCAGCAGGGCGAGGACGGAGAGCAGGUGCUGCGGCCGCUUGGACCAGCCAGACAUGCAUAUAUUAAGCACCUACGCUCGGCUGAGGCUGUGCGGAGUUAGGUUCCGGAAAGGAGAGGGACGCGGAAGGAUGGAAAUGACCAGUGACAGGCCAACAGCAGCUGCCACCAGAGAAAGAGGACACUUCUCCAUCACGCCAGGGCUCUGGCCUGUGUUAAAUUCCACCCAGGGAGCUGGAACCCGGGCCGGAGCCGAGGACACGGGCCGGCUCAGUCCAACUCCCAGAAGGUUUUCUGAACCGGUCGUGGACGAGGUCCUUGAUGAGGUGGCCAACGAUGGCGUAGGCCACGGCCACCACGAGGAGCGCGGCCAGCAGCAGGUACAGCGCGUACCUGGGCAGGCGGACGGCGUCCAGUGGCGGCGGGCGGUACUCCAGGUCAGCUCCAUCUUUGCACCUGCUGAUUGCUCUGCCGAGAAUGCCCUGCACCCCCAAACGUCACGGGGCUGGUUCCCUGGCUUCAUUCAUUCAUCUAAUAUUUGUCAGGCCCCCCAAGGUGGGUGGGGACACAGAUGGGAACAAGACAGAACCAAGACUCUGUCCCCGCAGAGAGGACCUGGAAGGCGAGAUGAUGCUAGGAAACAAACAGCUCCUUGCAAUAAAUGAUACAGCUUCAUUCACAACAAGCCAAAAGGCUGAAGCAACCCGAGUGUCCGUCAACAGAUUCCCCCAAUGGAAUAUUAUCCGAUCAGAAGAAAAAGCCAAGUUCUGAGACAGGUCACCUUGAAAAUGUGCUACUCGGUGAAAGAAGCCAGACACAUAAGGACAAAAAAUGUAUGACGUCACUUAGAUGACUGGAAAUGGCACAUUUGCAGAGAUAGAAAGUAGAUUAGCGGUGAAAGGGGG